UCUGUGGGGAAAGGAGGAGCGGUGAGUGCACGUUCCCAAUCACUGAUCAUAGAGUCAUUGAAUGAUUGGGCUGGGAGGGACCCUAAAGAUCACAGAAUCACAGAAUGGUUGGGUUGGAAGAGUCCUCGAAGAUGGUAGGACCAUACAACAAUAGAACAGGUUGGGAGGAGUCUUAUAGAUCAUAGGGCCGUAGGAUGGGUUGGGUUGGAAGGGACCCUAAAGGUCAUGGAACUAUGGGAUGAGUUGGUUGGAAAGGACAUUGAGUUGGAAGGGACCCUAAAGGUCAUGGAACUAUGGGAUGAGUUGGUUGGAAAGGACAUUGGGUUGGAAGGGACCCUAAAGGUCAUGGAACUAUGGGAUGAGUUGGUUGGAAGGGACAUUGGGUUGGAAGGGACCCUAAAGGUCAUGGAACUAUGGGAUGAGUUGGUUGGAAGGGACAUUGGGUUGGAAGGGACCUUAAAGGACAUGGAGCUGUAGGGUGGUUGGGUUGGAGGGGACCCAUAAGAUCAUAGAACCGUAAAAUCACAGCAUGGUUGGGUUGGAAGGGACCUUAAAGACCCCCAGCCCUGCUGUGGGUUAGCUGCCCCCCACCAGCCCAGGCUGCCCAGGGCCCAUCCAAGGAUGGGGCACCCACAGCUGUCUGGGCCCCCCACACGCUGCCCAUCCCCAUCCGUCGGUUCUUUGGGUCUCCCCCCAGCGGGGCUCCCCGCAGCACUGCUACCUUUGAGAGUUUGUCCUCGGCGGAGUGUUUCUUCUGGAUCUCGUGCUGUAGGGCCACGUAGAUCUUGUCCUGGAGCUUCUGCACCUUCUUGGACUCCGUCAGCCACGGGCGGUCUGCGGGGACAGCCAGGGCACGGACCUCCUCCGGGGAGUACAGGCUCCAGGCCAGGUGCUUCAGCUCCUCUGCUGUGUACUGGCAGGUCUCCAGGACUCUUCCAAUCAACUCAUCCCUCACCGAUCUCAAGGAUGGAGAUGUCCCCAGCCAGCUGGCUGCCCUCCAGUGCACCAUGAGCAAACAGGGCUGGCUCCAGCAUCAGCUCAUAGAUGGAUUCCUGCUUGAUGAGC